rnacentral:lncRNA from 1 species
GCUGCUUAUGUGGAGCAGUCCCCAGAUGUUAAGGUUGACUCCACUAGCAAGACUAGUCCACGAUGGGCACAUUUGUCUGGGGCGGCUAGGCGCAAACGGAGGAGAGCCAAGAGGGAAGCUGCUGAUAUCGGUGGUUCUCAGCUGCCGAGCGGCACUUCCCAACUGGCUUUUGUAUCUGAUUCUCCUGCUGAUACUCUGGUGUUGGCAAGAGAACCAGAUCUGCAAGGUCUACCCCUUCUGAGGAGGUGAGGCCUGCUAAGAGGUCUCAGGGUUUUCAGUCUGGAUCUUACUCUGAAGCUUUGGCUUUUAGGCUAGCCAUCAU